CGAUUUCAGAUGUGAUUUAAUAGAAGAAGACAUGAUUUCAUCCACAAUAUACCUUGUAAGCCAUGUUUAUUUUUUUCAAAAUUUGACUACACUAUGCUUUUAUUCGAACCAUUAUUAAACUAAUAUGGCACUGUUUUCUGCACGUCCUUAGGCUGUAGUAAUAGACGUACAGAUUUCUUGGGCUUGGUUUUUUUUUUUAAAAAAAUAGCUUUUACUAACAGUAUUUGUUUUCUCUGGUGAGGAUUCUGAGCCAUCAUUUCAAUCCAAUUGUAUAC
rnacentral:lncRNA from 1 species